rnacentral:rRNA from 1 species
AUUGAACGCUGGCGGUAUGCUUAACACAUGCAAGUCGAACGGUAGCAGGCCUUCGGGCGCUGACGAGUGGCGGACGGGUGCGUAACGCGUAGGAAUCUGCCUUAUAGUGGGGGACAACGUGGGGAAACUCACGCUAAUACCGCAUACGCCCUACGGGGAAAGCGGGGCUCGUAAGACCUCGCGCUAUGAGAUAAGCCUGCGUUAGAUUAGCUAGUUGGUAGGGUAAAGGCCUACCAAGGCGACGAUCUAUAGCUGGUCUGAGAGGACGAUCAGCCACACUGGGACUGAGACACGGCCCAGACUCCUACGGGAGGCAG